GACGAACGCUGGCGGCGUGCUUAACACAUGCAAGUCGAACGGAAAGGCCCUGCUUUUGUGGGGUGCUCGAGUGGCGAACGGGUGAGUAACACGUGAGUAACCUGCCCUUGACUUUGGGAUAACUUCAGGAAACUGGGGCUAAUACCGGAUAGGAGCUCCUGCUGCAUGGUGGGGGUUGGAAAGUUUCGGCGGUUGGGGAUGGACUCGCGGCUUAUCAGCUUGUUGGUGGGGUAGUGGCUUACCAAGGCUUUGACGGGUAGCCGGCCUGAGAGGGUGGCCGGCCACAUUGGGACUGAGAUACGGCCCAGACGCCUACGGGAGGCAGCAGUGGAGAAUAUGGCACAAUGGGCGGAAGCCUGAUGCAGCAACGCCGCGUGCGUGAUGACGGCCUUCGGGUGGUAAACCGCUGUCGCCUGUGACGAAGCGUGAGUGACGGUAAUGGGUAAAGAAGCACCGGCUAACUACGUG
rnacentral:rRNA from 1 species